rnacentral:rRNA from 1 species
UAGUGACAGGGGAGGUAGUGACACGGACUGUCUGAGGUGAAUCUCUCAGUGUGACACAUCGGGAGGUAGUGACACGGACUGUCUCAGGUGUCAUUCUCAGAGUGACACGUGAGGCAGUGACAAAGCUCGUAGUUGAAUUUCUGCUGUAUUGGAUUUUCUCUUUUUAUAUGAGUUUUUGCAUUAUGGCUUAUUUCAGUAUUAAUUAUAUAUUAUUACUGAAUGUUUACCUUGAGAAAAUUAGAGUGCUCAAAGCAGGCUUUUGCCUUGAAUAGUUUAGCAUGGAACAAUAAAGUACGACUUUGGUUCUAUUUCGUUGGUUUUAGGUACCAAAGUACUGCUUUAUAGGGACAGUUGCGGGCAUUCGUAUUUAACUGUCCGAACGUGAAAUUCUUAGCA